GAGCCAUUAGCUCAGUCGGCAGAGCAUCUGACUUUUAAUCAGGGGGUCUGGGGUUCAAAUCCCCAAUGGCUCACCA
rnacentral:tRNA from 1 species